GGCCUACAUGGUCGACGACCCGGCCGUCUCCAGCGUGAAUGCGUGAUACUGGGGUUCGAUGCUCCCAGGAAGGAGUCCGGCGCCAACAAGAGGCAAUACUUCCCUUCUUCCUUCAUUUGGGCUGAAUUCUGCCUGCAUAGGAGCCUGCGGAGAGACAUACAUAAUCAUUAACGGCUUGGAAUAAUUUCUUGUUUGUCGAUAGUAUUACCUCCUGCUCGAGUGAUCUGGCAUGCAAAUUGCUUGAUUAGCAGUGCCCCUAUUUGGUUGAGAAGGAACUAAGGUAGAAUAGAACUAGUAGUAGUAUGA
rnacentral:lncRNA from 7 species